ensembl:lncRNA
GAGAAAAAAUAGAGGCUGGUGAGGGAAUGUAUAUUUAUAGCUGCUAUAAUGUAAAUGAGAACAGAAAUGAACUUAUUUUGAAGACAUUCCACAACUUUAAAAGCAACCAGAAAUGGAUAAAAAUGCACUGAACUGAGCUUCUUUAAUGAAAAAAACAUACAGUGUUGGCAAAUUGCUAUGGUAUAGCUUGUUGGAUGGAUAGACACAGCUGUAGAUUAUUUACAUGGAUGGAUGCAUGGAUGCGCACAACAAUAAGCAAACAUUUUUACAGAUGGAUAUAUGCUAAUAAAGAUGGAUGGAUGAAUGGAAGGAUGGGUAGAUCUUUUUAAACCCAAAUGUAUUUUCAUAAAGAUGGAUGGAUUACCGGGUGGGCGGAUGGACCUGAGGAUUGGUAGAAUGGGUAGAGUUUUUUAUAUACAAAUGGAAGGGUGGCUGGACAAGGAUGUGUAGAAAGGUAGAUUAUUUCUAGACGGAUGGAUGGACAUAAGGAUCAAUAGAUUUUUAUGAAUGGAUGGAUGAAUGGCAACACGGAUGGGUAAAAUGGCUAGAUUUUUUAUAUAGAUGCAUGGAUUUUAAGUAAAUAUAAUAUGGAUGGAUGGAUAGUUGAAAGGAUGUAGAAACCUAGAUUAGUUCUAGAUGGAUGGAUGGAUGGAUGGAUGACGGACGAUCUAGGACAAUGGAAGGAUCCAGAAGGUUGUGCGUUUGUAAGCUAUCUAUAUGAAUAAGGCUGCAGGGGCGAGAGGGAAGAUCUUCAGCACUCACGCUGUGCCGCAUGUUUAUGCGGAUGCGUUCGGUAAACCGAUCGAUGCCGAGCGAUUCUGGCAAGCGCUGCUUCAGCAGAAAAACGGAUGAGGAAACGAGGGGAAUUAUUCGAUUUUAAGCAAUUGACAGUUUCGCCCGGCCCUUCUCUCCAUUUUCAAUUUCUCUCUUCUCUCAACGUACCGCUCAGACUCCGGUUUUAUUCGGUUAGGCGUACCGUCUUACCCCAAAUCAUCUGACUUGGUUAUAUGGAGAUUUUUUAUUUUUUUUUCAUCACUGCAGCGUCCUGGGCUUCAUGCACUUCAGUUUUCACUCUAAAGAUAAAACCUGGGCCCUGUUUCAGUAUUCACCCCUAUUGACCUCCUUUCUCGAUUUCUCCUUCAACGCUCAGUAAGGCAGUGUUUCCACUGAGCACGAGUGAAGUGUCUUAGAUGAGCACUUCGAGCAUUUUCACACUUGACCUGAAUACUUGAGUCCCUACCCAGGACUCGGUUAUGGUCUUGUUUGGGGAAGGGUUUCAUAAUCGUGGGUUUGUAUGCAAAUUGAAGAAUGAACCGUGGAACGAUUGCACAACUCCACAAGUCAUUUUGUGGAUAAUGCGAGACACUGGGUUCAUCCAUUCUUCAUUUUUUCACCACUCUGGUGAAGAGCAGUGCGUUUUCGACGCAUGGCAUGUCAGUGUAGGAAAUACUUGCAAACAAGGGGCCAUUCUCUUGUAUGCAGACCGGACACGACGUGCGUUAUUCGUAAUGCUGUCAGUACAUGAACAUCAGAGUGCGAGCUUCGGUUCUGUGGGUUUAUAUAUCAAUAAGGUGUUUUGUGUCCUCUUCUGGCCAUAGCAACUCUUGCCCUGCCGUCAGGAAACUUGAAGCAGGAAGUAAUGUGACAAUUUGAACCAAUCACGUUACCCAGCGUGAAGUGCUGAGAGGGAAUAGCUUACACGCAUCAUGUGAACUGCAUUGCGGUAUGGUGGAAGCGAGCCCCAUGACAAUCAUUUUCCAGAGGACCAGGGACAAUUUCUCUAGACAUACCAAAAGCAUACAGAACUCUUGGCACAAACUGGCCCAUGUAUGGAAAAAAAAAAAACCUCGAAAGAAAAACAAAAAAACGCAGGUAUGAAAAUGACCCGAGGGAGGAGCAGAAUUUACCUGGCUUUUGUUUUUUAAACAGCAAGUAACAGCUCUUUGUCAGUCUGAGCAAAUGCUGAACGCUUGAAAUACAGCGUAAAAGCACACGGCGACAAAUCUUGAUUUCAAAUGUCAUGCAAAUUUGAUCGAAUCAGUGCAGUGUGACCGGGUUUUGCUCAAUUGUAUGCACAUUAAGAGUACACUGACAUAUACAGUGAUGUUACUGCUGCACGUCUCCAGUCGCUGUACUAUGAAGCCACCAGUAGGCGUUCCUACUACUGGUUGCCAUAGUAACAUUCAUCAACGGGUGGCGCAACCAGGGUUGGGGGGGUUACGCCCAACCCUGUAAUCAGUAACGCAAUCCAAGCAUCACGAGAUGAAAGUAAUGUAAGGUGAUUAUUUUCGGAUUGCUUUAUGUAAAUAAAGUCAAGAGAAAAGCAAUAUGAUGGAUAAAAAGAAAUGAUACUUUCAUUUAGAGCUUAAAAACAGGUUCAGUGUUGAAUUUGUGUUAAUUAAUUAAAUAAAAGAUCACUGUCCCUGAUGCGGGUAACAUUACGUCACUAAAGCUAGAGUGACCAUAUUCUGGUUUUCCAAAAAGACUUAAUAGAACAGUGUUACUAUGAAUGCAGACUUUAAUACGCUGAAACAGACACACGAUUAGCAUCACAUAAAUAUAUGUAAAUAAUGUAUUAUUUUGAAUGUAAUAUUUUAUCCUACAUUCUUUUGAAUGUCCAUGGAAUAAAAUAAAGUCUCAGAUGCCACGAGUGAACCUCCUGCCGUCGUUUACACAUUUAAAUGGCCAUGUACUACGAAGCAAUGUGAUGACAUGAAAUGAAAUAUGACCUUAUAUGGUCGUGGGCGUCGUUUCGACUCAGGACAGCUUCAUCUGCUGCUAUGAUGACUCCGUACACAACAGCGCUUCACCUUCACGCGUUCGCUGAGAGAAGGCUAACGGUUGAGAGGCAGGAAUUUGGACAGUAGUUGCUGCAAGCCUUUUAUAAUCGACCAAUCGGUGUGCGAGAAGGCGGGACUUACAGAGAGGGGUUCAAGCAAUGCGAUUAUGCACACACAUGAUGCAGCAUUAGACCAUAAGCACAUCAUAAUGAAAUUAAAGCCCGGACGUUUUCUCAAAUUUAGACGCUUUUUUAAGGUCUGAAAUAGAGGACGUAUGAUCACCUUAACACGUGAGCCACGUUGCUCACGUGAGUCACGACUGGCAAGAGAGACCCAGAGCGAUAAUCUAUCAGCUGUGUAUAUCGUGUUCUGUCAGAUGAUUCAUUUCUUAGGUUUUAACGGAAAGAAAUUGUAAUCCUGAGAGUAUUCCCAUUUGUUCUAACUGUAGCUGUAAUCUGAUUACUUUGUUUUGUGACGUAACUGUAACGGAUUACAGCGACCGGUUUUCUGUAUCCCGAUUACGUAACGCCGUUACUGUACUCCGUUACUCCACGAGCCUGCUUACCUAGUACUUCCUAUUGUAAGAUUGCAGUACAUCAAAUUUAUGAUUAUUAAACCUAUUUCUAGGUUUUUUUUCUUUGUUGCUCAUUUCUAGCUCGAUCUACUGUAUUCUUUGCUGGGAUUUGUUGGUGAAAGUGGAUGAAGUGGACGCCUGGUGUUUGUCAGAUGGUGUUGCUUACACACUUGAAGACCAAACCCCUGUGCCACUGCUCAUUACUGACCAAUUCAUCCACCAUGUGUGUCCCACUACUGUACAGCCACCGUACCAUGUGCCAAAGCUCCGUAUGUGAGCAAACCCGUGGGAAAAUAAUUCGGCAAGUGUGUCAUCUACACACACACACACACACACACACACCCACACACACACACAGUGAGUGUCAGGUGGCAAGAUAAACCUCACUAAUCAAUCCAACCAUUUACCCAGCCAAUAUAAAUGUGUGUGUGUGUGUGUGUGUGUGUGUGUGUGUGUGUGUGUGUGUGUGUCACUGUGUGUGUGUGUCACUGUGUGUAUGUGUUUGUGUGAGCAUGUAAAACAUCCUCCCCAUUCAUUUAAACACAAGCACAGAACACACAGGAACUCCCUAAAAGUUUGAGCAAUAUGAAUUGCCAUAUACUAGUGUAGACAUACACACACACACACACACACACACACACACACACACACACACACACACACACAUGCUGCUGUACUUCACACCUCAGCCCACACGAGUCACCCUGGCAUGUGGGAGAACUUUUCAGACACAGCUCUUAAUUAGACAGAAAACAGAGGUCAUAAAGAGCCACAACACACACACACACACACACACACACACACACACACACACACACACACACACUUCUCCAAAGUCAUUCAAAGUUUCCUGUGAAAAUAAAGAUAGAAUGAGAAAAUUACCAACAAAAAAAUGGCAUACUGCCUGAAUCCCAGACUUUAAAGUUCAUUAUGUUUCGCCUCAGAAUUAAAACGGCGCGUCCGCCUACGUGUACAUAUUUAUGCCCUCUGCGGCUCAGACUUUCAUUUGCCAAACAGAUUACAGAAAUCCUCGGUGAUUUCCCGAUGCCGAAAUCAAAUGAUCAAACAAAUCCAGGCUUAUUAAAUCUGAGCUGCGCUUAAAUCCGUAUUUCCUCUUCCUGUUAGCGUUGACUGUCAUCUCAAAUCUCACAUCUCAUACCUACUGUGUGUGUGUGUGUGUGUGUAUAUGUGUGUGUGUGUAUGUGUAGCUGAGAUUCAUGCCGUCGGGUCCCCGGGGUUUAAAUUUGAUCCCCUGUGAAUUGAAAAGCUCUGUCUGGAAGCAUUUUGAAGGCAUUUUGGUAUUGAAUGUGAUUUAUAAUGAUUUAUAAUGGCUGUGCUAUAAAACCUCAUUCACACUGGCUGGUAUGUUGCUUUUUCAGGAAGGAAAAAAAAAAAAAAAAGAAGUAAUAACCGUGACUUGAACCGUGUCUUUGCGUCUUGCUAUUGUAACACCAUGGCGCUAGAACCGCCUUUUUGAAAUCAAUUGCGCUCUAAUUUUUUCACGCCCAGCGUCACUUUGAAUCAUUCCUGCAAGACGUGUUUUCACCUUAUGGGCAUGCUGGUACAGGAAAAUCAAUACCGACUGUUACAGUGCAAAGUGUUGACACUGGAGACUCCUUCCAUUCCACUCCUUCCUGCGUAUUCUUCAGUCUCUCCGGGAUUCCGCGAUCGCAGAAACGGACGCGAAAUCAAGCAAACUCCGGGAAAUGUUUCAAAGUUACCACGGAUUUUUACCACAAGACACGUCGUGUGACGUCAUCACGACGGACGUUCAGCCAAAGCCCUCUUCGAACAUGAGUAUAGCUAAAAAGGUCUCAUUUUCCAGCAGACAUCACUACGAAGGAGCGUGCGAUUGGAGAAACAGUCGUGUAAAGUUUUAGUCUGAGGUUUAUAUUUGUAACACUCGGUUUGUGGAUUUUAUUUCAAACAAACGAAAGAAAAUGGUACUGAAAGUUUCACACACACACCCCCCCCCCCCAAAUCUGAUUAAUCGAUUGAUCGUAAAAAGAACGAAAGAAAGAAAAAAAUGGCCCAACUAAUCGAUUGCGAAAAUAAUCGUUAUUUGCAGCCCUCGUGUCCUGUCAGUGGCUAAAUGAUGCUACGCGCUGACCUAGCCUGCAAUAACUAAACGUAUAUACCGUAGAUAUCUCAUAGUAACUGACCGUUUAUACUAGAAACAAACUGAAGUCGCUUGAGGCUUACGACUUCUGUCUGUGGGCGUGUUCUAGACGUAACGUUUUACGAUUACAACAUCGAGGACGUCGACAUCAAGGACUGAAUAAAAGUUUGCUAGCUAAACGUAUCCAUUAUAGGCAACUCCUAAGUAAGAAUCUGACCUAGAUAUCUAGCGUUAUCUUGCUAGUUUCUACUUAGGCUUAUUAAAGCAAUACUAUAAAUUUGGUGUGUUAGUUAAAUAGUAGGGGCUUAGUGGUUAGCACAUUCGCCUCACACCUCCGGGGUCAGUUGUUCGAUUCCCACCGUGGCCCUGUGUGUGUGGAGUUCGCAUGUUCUCCCAGUGCUGCGGGGGUUUCCUCCGGGUACUCCGGUUUCCUCCCCCAGUCCAAAGACAUGCAUGGUAGGCUGAUUGGUGUGUCUAAAGUGUCCGUAGUGUAUGAAUGGGUGUGUGAGUGUGUAAGUGAUUGUGCCCUGUGAUGGAUUGGCACCCUGUCCAGGGUGUACCCCGCCUUGUGCCCGAUGCUCCCUGGGAUAGGCUCCAGGUUCCCCGUGACCCUGAAAAGGAUAAGCGGUAUAGAAGAUGGAUGGAUGGAUGGCUAAAUAGUGAGAGCAAGUGCCAUCGCUCAGGAUGCUGACCAGAACUACGACUACGCCUCCAACAGCGUCAUCCUGCACCUGGACCCUGGAGAUGAGGUCUACAUCAAACUGGACGGAGGCAAAGCCCACGGCGGCAACAACAACAAAUACAGCACUUUCUCCGGUUUCAUCCUCUACGCUGACUGAACUGCAGAGCUCGAGGAGAAGAGGAAGAAGACGAGACGGAGAAAGAAAGAAGGCGUUAUCAUCCAAGUGCUUUGUUUUCAAUUCGCAGGAUCAUCCUGUCGCUUCUACCAUCUUUUUUCUUUUCUUUUUUUUUUGGCUUUGUUUGAUUGCAAACUCUAGUAAGAGACUCUCAGUGGACAGAGGGUGUUCUUUCUGCUCUAUGAAUCACCUUAAUGACAAAAAGCGUGAGGAAAAAUGAGUGAAAAAAAGAGAGCUUUUCUUUUCUUCUUUCUUCCUUUGAGACUUCCUGCAGGACUUUCAAGUGGCAGAGAUCUUUUGUCUCAUUGUCGCGUACGUCUCCCCAUCAAAUCUCAUCUUCUGUCCACAGAUAUUUAUCUUCAAGAUACGAGAAUGAUCCAAAAUGUCUGUCCCUCAUGGAGAAAAAGAAAAUUAAAUAUUUUUUUUGAAGGCUUGCUUUAUUGACUAAGGGAUCGUUUGAGAUUGAGUUCAGCCUAGUUAAAAUCCUAUUUCAGAUGAUUGAAAAUGCUUGUGCACAAUGAAAAUUUGUGCCGUCCUUAGCACUUUUUGUUCUUUACCUCCGGGCCCUGUAUAACUGAAGAGUGGUGGUUGUUGUUUCUUCAGCGUGUCGUGCUGUGUCUGGUGCAGAUGUGACUCGUGGCAGUCCAUGAAGGACCUUUCGGAAAACACAAAGGACACUUUCUCUAAAUGUCGUUAAUCCUCCUUUAGUCAGUUCUUUUAUUCUCAUCCAGCAGUUAGCCGAGUUCUCCUCUCUUCCAAGACUCCAGGCCCGUAUGUUUCAAGUAUCAUUCUCCCUUUGAAAUUCCCACCAUGUUUAUCUAGUCCAAAAAACGACACAGUUUAAACCAGGGGUUCUCAAACUUCUUACCCCUUUAACUGUUUUCUUGUUGUUGUUGUUGUUUAAAUCACGAUCUCAAUUAGUACUUUUAAUUUACAAGCAAACUCUUUAAAAAUGAGGUAAAUUAGGUUGGAUAAUAUUUUCGCUGUUAAUCGGAGACAGAAAUUUCCACCCAUAGAACCAGAUUUCAAAUGCCGUUAGAUCAGGCUUGCGCGAUAUGACGAUUUAAUCAUCCCGACACGAUCGUAUGCACGAUAUCCAUCGACGUUUACUCUAGUCGAGGUCAUACGUUCACAUACGCCUUGUAGAAUCUAUAAAAUGUUAAUAACUGUUUUUAUAAAGUAAGAUGGAGGAUAAAAAUUGCAUUUCGUUUUUUUUUUUUUAGUCCCGCCCACAUAACGGAUGUUUACAUCUAGUCCACAAGACGCAAUGAUAACUGAAUUACACAUGUACCAGUUUACGCACGCUCGGUUCUUAAUCCCGUGCGUCGUCACCUGGAUGAUCCACGACGUGUUUAUGUUUUGUGAGAGUCCUUCACGAGUCCCUUGUUUGUCCUGAGCAGUUAAACUGCCCCACUGUUCUUCAGAAAAAUCCUCCAGGUCCUGCACAUUCUUUACUUUUCCAGCAUCUUCUGCAUGUUCGAACCCUUUCUAACAGUGUGGGAGGAGGGGGGGGGGGGUAAACUUUUGAACAAGAUAAAAAUGGAAAUAAGCCACUUAGAUGACACCAUGUGUAAGCCCCGCCUCCUUCCUCCUAAUCUCCACAUGCUCUCUAUUGGACUCUUGCUUUCUGUCAGCAUAAAUGUUUUGAGUUCGUUAUUACGCAAUCAAAUCUGUCACUGUAUGUUCACAUGACCUAAAAUUGCCUUCUAACUAAUUAGAUAAUUAAUUAGAGAUACCAGUGGAAAAUUGGUUUUCAGGCUUUCGGGGUUUGGUUUUUUUUGUUUGUUUGUUUGUUUUUGCUUAAAGAGAAAAAAGGAUGAUAAAAAAGAUUAAAUAGGCUUACACCAAAGUGGCCGAAAUUAACAUUAAGAC